rnacentral:rRNA from 1 species
GUGCCAGCAGCCGCGGUAAGACGUAGGGUGCAAGCGUUGUCCGGAUUUAUUGGGCGUAAAGAGUUCGUAGGCGGUUGCCUAAGUCUGAUGUUAAAGCCCGGAGCUCAACUCCGGUAUGGCAUUGGAAACUGGGCAGCUUGAGUAUGAUAGAGGUUACGGGAAUUCCUGGUGUAGCGGUGAAAUGCGUAGAUAUCAGGAGGAACACCGGUGGCGAAAGCGCGUAACUGGGUCAUAACUGACGCUGAGGAACGAAAGCCAGGGGAGCAAAAAGGAUUAGAAACCCCCGUAGUCC